GGCUACAGCCAUACUACCCUAAACACGCCCGAUCUCAUCUGAUCUUGGAAGCUAAGUAGGGUCAGGCCUGGUUAGUACUCAGAUGGGAGACCGCCUGGGAAUACCGGGUGCUGUAGACG